rnacentral:rRNA from 1 species
UACGGGGGGGGCAAGCGUUGUUCGGAAUUACUGGGCGUAAAGGGUGCGUAGGCGGCUUUCUAAGUUGGAUGUGAAAACUCUGGGCUCAACCCAGAGCCUGCAUCCAAAACUGGAAGGCUAGGGUUCUGGAGGGGAAAGCGGAAUUCCUGGUGUAGCGGUGAAAUGCGUAGAUAUCAGGAGGAACACCGGUGGCGAAGGCGGGUUUCUGGACAGAUACCGACGCUGAGGCACGAAAGCUAGGGGAGCAAACAGG